UGAAGUACGUUUCACCCUCGGGUGGACAGGGAGACAGGUGGUGCAUGGUUGUCGUCAGCUCGUGUCGUGAGAUGUUGGGUUAAGUCCCGCAACGAGCGCAACCCCUACGUUUAGUUGCUAACGCGUGAAGGCGAGCACUCUAGACGAACUGCCGUUGACAAAACGGAGGAAGGUGGGGAUGACGUCAAAUCAUCAUGCCCCCUUAUGUUCUGGGCUACACACGUGCUACAAUGGCCGGUACAGACGGACGCAAAGCCGCGAGGUGGAGCAAAUCCUAAAAAGCCGGUCUCAGUUCGGAUUGCAGGCUGCAAUUCGCCUGCAUGAAGUCGGAAUCGCUAGUAAUCGCAGGUCAGCAUACUGCGGUGAAUACGUUCCCGGGCCUU
rnacentral:rRNA from 1 species